ensembl:snRNA U6 U6 spliceosomal RNA
GCUUGCUUUGGCAGGGCAUAUACUAAAACUUGGAACGAUACAGAGAAGAUUAGCAUGGCCCCUGUGUAAGGAUGAUAUGCAGAUUUGUGAAGAGUGGAAUUCUAUC